AAUCGCUGCAGAAAGGAAAAGACAACUGGAAUCAGAUCCAUGCUUUCAGCAGUAUUCUGCAGUCAUCGUGGAUGGGUUUGUCAUUCUGAUAACAUUUCUACAGUGAAAUAAGAUGUUUAUGUCAAGGAAAAAAGAAUAUCUGCCUGACUAUUCCUCCUGUUCAAAACACUAUUGACUGGUGGACACAGGCAUUUUCAACACUGAUGAGGAAGAGAAAUGUUACACCCCAUAAAAACUGAAAAAUCAAUACGAAAGAGUACAUUACAUGUACACAGAGGUGGCUGAGCCUGAAACCAGCCCAGGCGCAAUACCACCACCAGUGAUUCAGAUCUAAUUAACGCCAUCCAGCUCCUGCUGACCCAGAGGGCCUUAUUAACUUGGGUGCAGAUCUGGACCCAAGCUGCCUGCAUGAAAACGUGUGGAUAUCCCCAGGCUGUAAAUUCAGUUUGCAUUGUGGCUGUGACGUUCCCUCUUCCUUUUUUCUAUAUUAGUAAAUAGUUUUAUCUCAA